GCUUACGGCCAUACCUGCCUGAAUGCUCCCGAUCUCGUCUGAUCUCGGAAGCUAAGCAGCGUCAGGCCUGGUUAGUACUUGGAUGGGAGACGCCUGGGAACCCGGUGCUGUAAGGU
rnacentral:rRNA from 1 species